CCCUACCUGAGGUGAAAAAAGAACAUUUCAUUCUCCAUGAACAGCUGACUGCUUCUGUGUGACUAAAGAGAAAGCUGACUCAGUUCCCUCAAAGACAAACACGUUCUCAGACUUCCUUGAUGCAUGCUCAGUCACACAGGUUGGGGGAACCUGCAGGCAGCAAAGACAGAAGAAGUGGAUGAUGAUGAAAUGUUUCUCUCACUGAAAACACUACAUCCAGAUGAAUGGGACUGAUGUCCUCAGAGGGUCUGAAGGACACACAGUCAAUACUCUUUGUCAGUCCUCCAGGGUUGGUGCACGUCUUUGAUCCUGUCUUGGAGGCUGUGUGGACAAUAGCUGAUUUUUCUUUUUGGGCUCGAGGACAAAGAGGAAGGUGGAGCUUGAGAUGGACUGGUGGAUUGGUGCUCCAUGCAGGAGUUGUACCGUACUGCUGCUGUGAGGUUAAGAAAGAGAGCUUAGCUCGAAGAUGUCCGUUUCCACCUGACACAGGAGGAGCUCAGAAUCGAGGCGUGCUCCUUCAUCAGUCUGAUCAGUGCCUCCUGAGCACCUCCAGACAUGUCCAGUUGGGAGAAGGCCCUGCAGGAGACCUCAAACUCUAGAGAAAUCAUAUUUAA